CACAGUUACAAACAUGGGCCAGGUUAACAGACACACAUGAAGAGAAGCUGGGCGGCCAUGUUGGGGAUCAUGUUGACCACUACCCCCCUGGGUUUCAGGUCUGCAAACAUAGGACAGUUACAAACAUGGGCCAGGUUAACGGACACACAUGAAGAGAAGCUGGGCGGCCAUGUUGGGGAUCAUGUUGACCACUACCCCCCUGGGUUUCAGGUCUGCAAACAUAGGACAGUUACAAACAUGGGCCAGGUUAACGGACACACAUGAAGAGAAGCUGGGCGGCCAUGUUGGGGAUCAUGUUGACCACUACCCCCCUGGGCUUCAGGUCUGCAAACAUAGGACAGUUACAAACAUGGGCCAGGUUAACGGACACACAUGAAGAGAAGCUGGGCGGCCAUGUUGGGGAUCAUGUUGACCACUACCCCCCUGGGUUUCAGGUCUGACAAAGAG